GUUUAACUUCAAAAGAUUUGGGCCAGGGAUUUGGCUCAGUGAUUCUGCCAUCUUCCUCGCAAGUGCAAGGUCCCAAGUUCGAUCCCUGGCCAAAAAAAUUGCAACUUUAAAAGAUUACAGUGCUCAAGUAGUUUGUGGUGGAGCAAGGGAGCAAAUUUUCAGAAGGAGGAAGAACAGCAGUGAGAGACAGGUGCUGUUACAGAGAUGCAGGCCAGGACUGUGGGGACUGAGGCAGGAUGUGGUAGCCUGUUGUUUUUGUCCACAAGUCCGCUCAAGGAUCAAAGGUUCAGGGACUCGAACUGAGAGGGCAAGGCACAGAAUCACCAAGCAGACUCUGGGGAGGUUUCUGGAACACUUUCACUUUUAAUAAGUCCAGCCAGCAAUUUAUAAAGUUUUGAAAGAGGGAGUGGCAAAGGGGGAGUAAUAUAUUUGGCUUAACAGGAUUGGUUAUUGGAGUGUCCUUGGACGAGGCGAUGGAGGCAUCCAACUAGGGGAGAUGGACAAGGCCAUAGCUGGACAUAGACAAGGCCUCUACUAGUGUGCUAGGAGAUGAACAUGCUGCACUUGUCCCAGCCAGACUUGUACCUUGCCCACAGUAGCCUGCUCCUUCUAGGACCAAGAGUCCUUCCCAUGGAGGAUGACUUGAGGUGAGAGCGAAGAUUUCCCAGGCAGCAAGUGAGGGAAAGGGCCUUUGGUCACUGGCUGGACCGUGAGGAUUAGGGCAGGAGCAGAGGAAUGGGGUGUGUGCUGCAGUGCACCCCACAGCACCCAGACCAGCAGCCACUCCAAGCUUCUUCUGGAAGAAUCCAGUGCAAACCCUGAGUAUAUUGUGGAAGAGACUGUGAAGAGGUGGAAGGAAAAUUCAACAAUCAGGACAACAGCAAAGGAAAUCACAAUCUUAGACCGCAUGAGAGCUGCCAGAGGAGAGCCUAUCUCCAGACUGUGCCUGAGAAAGACAGAUCAAGGGUGCAGGAAGCAGAUGGCAUCAUCCAGACUGACAACGUGACAGUGUGGACAAAGAACGGGAAAGAAAGCAGCAACGGCAGCAGCCAGAACACUCACUAUCCGGCUGAGAUCUCCCAGACUGGAGAAAUGAAUGCUGUCAGCUGCGUGAAGAGCCUGCCUCUGUGCCCUGGCAGGGCGAGCUAUCAAGGUGCUCACAGGAAGGCAAUGUGUUGGAAAUCCUCCGUCCAGAUGCCAGGCACCAUGAGGGGAGCAGCUCUGCUCCAUCACACAGUGCCGCAGUGACAUUCUGCCCCACCAUGACCCAAAAGCAACACAGCCAGCCAAUUAUGGACCAGAACCAGAAGCCCAAGUCAACCUUUCCCCUACAAGCUGAUGAUGGUCUCUGGUAUUUUGUCACAGUCACAGAAACCUAAACAACUGGCCAGAACUUCCUGAAAAUUUGUGGGAUGUGGAGGUUUGUGGGGUUUUGGUUUUUUGAAAACUCAUACAAAGCAAUAAAAGCCGAAUUGCAUUUAGCUCCACAUUCACCUGAUGAUUUCCCUGAGGUUUACUGAUUCAUGGGCCCCUUUCUCUGGAAUGUGUAACCCUGCCUCCAUCUUGGGAAGGCAGCCACAUGGCAAUUUUUGUGUGUGUGUAUAUGUGCCUGUGAAGGAGUUUGGGCAGGACAGCAAGCAGAGCCACUGUCAGGACUGUGGAAUGAGGGACUUAUGGUCCAUCAUGGAAGUUACACAAAUGUAACGACAUGGAGGAUUGGAAAACAGAGCUGGAGAUGAAAGGAAAGUCCCUCAGCAGUUUCCCGGGCAAGUUGGGUCCUGUAAGAAAGUUCAAGAAGCAGGCGCAUGCUGCAGCCACAGUGGCCUGUGGCACCUAUGCCCUGUAUGGCUGCACACCCUGGGGAUCCUUGGCCAGUGGUCAGCAGCUGCUGGGGUGAGGCUGUACCAAAGCAGGGCCCCCUAGGCUGGGUGGGGGAAGGGAGUGGGGCCACUGUGUCCACCCCUGCAACAGAUGAUCAGGACCCUCUGUCCCAUGGGCCCCUCUUCCACCAGCUCUAACUAGAGCUCCGCAGGCAAGGGACUCAGCCCAGGUGGACAGGACAUCCUGCACAUGAGGAGUGGGAUGAAGAAGGGGCUGAGAGGGCCGUAUCACUCUAGGACACUAUCAUUUUGAAGUUAUAGGAACAGAAUUUAUCCCAUAAACAUUUCUUUCAUGAAACGCACUGAAAAAUGUUAGGACUUCCCAGUUAGCUGUAUGAAAAGCUUGACUGGUUUCCAAAACUCUUAAAAAUCAAAGACAAAAAUUGGAAUGCAAAUUUAAAUUCAACUGUUUGUUAUACCCCAGAGAUGAACAAAAACUGGCUUGAUGUUUGAAAUUCUUGAAUCUCGAUUUUCCAAAAAGUCAACAGAGGGUGAAGGGAGAGAGAGAGACAGACAGAGACAGAGACAGAGAGACAGACUGCAAAGUGUUUGUUUUUUUUUUUAAAUAUCAACCACUCAGGCUUCUUUAUUGACAAGACUGAAGUAAUCUCAAAAUCCACUUCCAAACUGAGUUUUCAGUGUGAGUUUAUGUUAUCCAAAUCAAUGGCACAGGGAGAACCC
ensembl:lincRNA